rnacentral:rRNA from 1 species
AUACGGAGGGUGCAAGCGUUAUUCGGAAUCACUGGGCGUAAAGGACGCGUAGGCGGGUUGGCAAGUCAGAUGUGAAAUCCUACAGCUUAACUGUAGAACUGCAUUUGAAACUGCUAACCUAGAGUAUGGGAGGGGGAGAUGGAAUUAGUGGUGUAGGGGUAAAAUCCGUAGAUAUCACUAGGAAUACCGAAAGCGAAGGCGAUCUCCUGGAACACUACUGACGCUAAGGCGUGAAAGCGUGGGGAGCAAACAGGAUUAGAUACCCUAGUAGUCC